ensembl:snoRNA
GCAUGGCUGAAUUCUGUGUUACUCUUGAAAUAGUAAAUGCAGUCAGACACCAUGCUAAAUUAUUGGUUUCACACACUGACUCAACAACAGGAGAAUAGUGCUGUUCAUGUGCCUCAUUCUUAUGUCAGAGUGACUACAGCA